rnacentral:sRNA from 1 species
GAAUACGGCCAGGCAAUGACAGUCCGAGUGUGCAAGAUGGAUGGAGAAGUAAUGCCUGUGGUUGUAGUGCAGAGUGCCACAGUCCUGGACCUGAAGAAGGCCAUCCAGAGAUACGUGCAGCUCAAGCAGGAGCGUGAAGGGGGCAUUCAGCACAUCAGCUGGUAAGUGGAACAACAAUCCCUUCAUUAUAGCACUUCCUGGGGUCAGUGCCCUUCUUGGCACUGUCACCAGGCACCACCUGGAAACACCUCUCAGCUCUGCAUGAGUACAGCACCACUGAAGUGAUGAGCUCCCUGUCACAAGAGUUCAGACAGUGCAGGUCCUUCUGUGCCUGGGACUCCUGCCUCGGCCAUCCCCAGCAUACUGCUCUUUCAUCGCCAUCACCCCAUCCAAGCUGCUAGAUAUCUUCACUUGGGGACACCGUUGGGAAUUUCCAGUGUGUCUGGAAGUGGCCUCCCUAUUUAUGGAUGGUACACCUGUAGUGGCUCCCAUCCCCUUCUCACCUGGGUGCUGUCAGCCCUCACUCUCCUAUUGGAUCAACUGUCCUGUUCACCGAGUCUCAACACUGUCACCUGUUGCAUUAGCAAGGUGUGUUUGGCCAAGCUGCCCCAUACAGCCCUCUGAGAACAGAGCCUCCUUGUAGCUGCCUCAGACCCAAUUUGCACAUUGUACAGAACAGCCCAGGUAGGGAGGACAGCUGCCCCAGGUCCCAUAGGGCUGAAUGCCUCAAGCCCACGUCAUGCACAGCCACUCAGCUCACCCUACUCAGGGCAUGUGGUUUACCUGCAUUCCCCUCUUACAGGUCCUAUGUGUGGAGGACGUACCAUCUGACCUCUGCAGGAGAGAAACUCACAGAAGAUAGAAAGAAGCUCCGAGACUAUGGCAUCCGGAAUCGAGACGAGGUUUCCUUCAUCAAAAAGCUGAGGCAAAAGUGAGCCUCCAGACAGGACAACUCGCUUCAUCACUGGUGGCUGAGCUUUUUCCCAGCAGGAUCGGCUCCUCGAGUCAUUGUGCCUCUUUCACAGAAAGGAUGUCGUGUUGGCCUCACCCCAGGCAUGCCCAACAGGAACUGUCAGCAUAAACCUGGGGGCCCUCAGGACUAGGACAGGGUGAGCCAGUGCUCCCUUCUUUCAUGCACUUGGCCUGAGACUGACCUCUCCCUGGGUCCAAAUGCCCUAGUCACAUGGCAGAGCCACGGCCUGGCCCUGUGUAUAAAAUAAACCUGUUUGCUUCUUGGUUUGAAAA